AUUGAACGCUGGCGGCAUGCUUUACACAUGCAAGUCGAACGGUAACAGGUUAAGCUGACGAGUGGCGAACGGGUGAGUAAUGCAUCGGAACGUGCCCGGUCGUGGGGGCUAACGCAGCGAAAGCUGCGCUAAUACCGCAUACGAUCUGAGGAUGAAAGCGGGGGACCGUAAGGCCUCGCGCGAUCGGAGCGGCCGAUGUCAGAUUAGGUAGUUGGUGGGGUAAAGGCCUACCAAGCCGACGAUCUGUAGCUGGUCUGAGAGGACGACCAGCCAAACUGGGACGGAGACACGGCCCAGACUCCUACGGGAGGCAGCAGUGGGGAAUUUUGGACAAUGGGCGCAAGCCUGAUCCAGCAAUGCCGCGUGCAGGAAGAAGGCCUUCGGGUUGUAAACUGCUUUUGUACGGAGUGAAAAGGCUCUCUCUAAUACAGGGGGUUCAUGACGGUACCGUAAGAAUAAGCACCGGCUAACUACGUGCCAGCCGCCGCCGUAA
rnacentral:rRNA from 1 species